AGAGUUUGAUCAUGGCUCAGAACGAACGCUGGCGGCAGGCUUAACACAUGCAAGUCGAACGGUCUCUUCGGAGGCAGUGGCAGACGGGUGAGUAACGCGUGGGAAUCUACCUAGUUCUACGGAACAACAGAGGGAAACUUCUGCUAAUACCGUAUACGCCCUAAGGGGGAAAGAUUUAUCGGAAUUAGAUGAGCCCGCGUAAGAUUAGCUAGUUGGUGGGGUAAUGGCCUACCAAGGCGACGAUCUUUAGCUGGUCUGAGAGGAUGAUCAGCCACACUGGGACUGAGACACGGCCCAGACUCCUACGGGAGGCAGCAGUGGGGAAUAUUGGACAAUGGGCGAAAGCCUGAUCCAGCCAUGCCGCGUGAGUGAUGAAGGCCUUAGGGUUGUAAAGCUCUUUCAGUAGGGAAGAUAAUGACGGUACCUACAGAAGAAGCCCCGGCUAACUUCGUGCCAGCAGCCGCGGUAAUACGAAGGGGGCUAGCGUUGUUCGGAUUUACUGGGCGUAAAGCGCACGUAGGCGGAUUGUUAAGUCAGGGGUGAAAUCCUGGAGCUCAACUCCAGAACUGCCUUUGAUACUGGCAAUCUAGAGUCCGGAAGAGGUGAGUGGAACUCCUAGUGUAGAGGUGGAAUUCGUAGAUAUUAGGAAGAACACCAGUGGCGAAGGCGGCUCACUGGUCCGGUACUGACGCUGAGGUGCGAAAGCGUGGGGAGCAAACAGGAUUAGAUACCCUAGUAGUCC
rnacentral:rRNA from 1 species